UUAAAUCGAAGAGGCGCAGUCAACAUGAGUACCGUAUGUUAGUCGCAGACCAGACAAUGAUCGUACGGGAAAGGGGCGAUUGCCGAAGCUUUCAGACCGGGUCGCGGCUUGAUUGCUGGGGCGUGGCUGAACAAGUCACGGACUGUCGCGGAGAAAAACUUCGCGGAGCGCUAUCGACCAAU
rfam:Lactobacillus mucosae LM1, complete genome.